CCUACGGGGUGCAGCAGUGGGGAAUAUUGCACAAUGGGCGCAGGCCUGAUGCAGCCAUGCCGCGUGUAUGAAGAAGGCCUUCGGGUUGUAAAGUACUUUCAGCAGGGGAGGAAGGCGAUAAGGUUAAUAACCUUGUCGAUUGACGUUACCCGCAGAAGAAGCACCGGCUAACUCCGUGCCAGCAGCCGCGGUAAUACGGAGGGUGCAAGCGUUAAUCGGAAUUACUGGGCGUAAAGCGCACGCAGGCGGUCUGUCAAGUCGGAUGUGAAAUCCCCGGGCUCAACCUGGGAACUGCAUUCGAAACUGGCAGGCUAGAGUCUUGUAGAGGGGGGUAGAAUUCCAGGUGUAGCGGUGAAAUGCGUAGAGAUCUGAGGAAUACCGGUGGCGAAGGCGGCCCCCUGGACGAAGACUGACGCUCAGGUGCGAAAGCGUGGGGAGCAAACAGGAUUAGAUACCCUCGUAGUC
rnacentral:rRNA from 1 species